rnacentral:rRNA from 1 species
UACGUAGGCAGCGAGCGUUGUUCGGAAUUACUGGGCGUAAAGGGUGUGUAGGCGGUUCUUUAAGUUUGGUGUGAAAUCUCCCGGCUCAACCGGGAGGGUGCGCCGAAUACUGAGGGACUAGAGUAUGGGAUGGGAAAGUGGAAUUCCUGGUGUAGCGGUGAAAUGCGUAGAUAUCAGGAGGAACACCUGUGGUGUAGACGGCUUUCUGGACCAUAACUGACGCUGAGACACGAAAGCGUGGGUAGCAAACAGG